AUUGAACGCUGGCGGCAUGCCUUACACAUGCAAGUCGAACGGUAACAGGUCUUCGGAUGCUGACGAGUGGCGAACGGGUGAGUAAUACAUCGGAACGUGCCUAGUAGUGGGGGAUAACUACUCGAAAGAGUGGCUAAUACCGCAUGAGAUCUACGGAUGAAAGCAGGGGAUCGCAAGCCCUUGUGCUACUAGAGCGGCCGAUGGCAGAUGAGGUAGUUGGUGGGAUAGAAGCUUACCAAGCCGACGAUCUGUAGCUGGUCUGAGAGGACGAUCAGCCACACGGGGACUGAGACACGGCCCAGACUCCUACGGGAGGCAGCAGUGGGGAAUUUUGGACAAUGGGCGCAAGCCUGAUCCAGCAAUGCCGCGUGCAGGAUGAAGGCCUUCGGGUUGUAAACUGCUUUUGUACGGAACGAAAAGCCCUGGGUUAAUACCCUGGGGUCAUGACGGUACCGUAAGAAUAAGCACCGGCUAACUACGUGCCAGCAGCCGCCGUAACAC
rnacentral:rRNA from 1 species